AAUAAUAAUCGGGGCGGUUUCCCAGUUUUUCCGCAGCUUGUAGCAGUAUGUAAAGUGAUAAAGAGCUGAUUUCUGCGUUCAGGUGUCCUCUAAUUUAAUAAAGAAAUUGAAUAUACCGAAAAGGCCAUUAUUAUAUAUUGUCAUAGUGAACAAAAAAUAACUCAUAGUUGCUAGCGUAAAAAUUAUUAAAACUAUGGCUUUGUUGGUUGAUUGGAAUUCUAGCGAAUCAAGUGCUAUUACUCUUAGUUGCUUUAAGUCUCGCCUUAAACAUAAAGGUAAGUGACGAGCUUACAUUUUCUUCUUGAUUUUCUUCAGGAGAUUGCAAGGAAACUUAGCUAUCUUACUAUACUGGUCGAACUUCCUACGCUCUUUUGCUUGUUGUUCAUUUUGUUGCGCUUUGCCGUCCUUCUCGGCAUCCAAGUCCAAAAGCAGUGGUUUCCUGAUUCCAGAAGUGGCACUUGUAGAGCAACAAUUUCUGAACUUGAUGAAGACAGUCUUCUCAAUGGAAGUACAGAAAUUGAACACGUGAGCAGGCUGCUAAAUUUGGACAGGAACAAGACUUCUUCAGAUGUGAAAGGGUUGAAGAAACUUUUGUAUUACAUCUACCAACCAAGAUCAGGUUU